CCUACGGGAGGCAGCAUUGAGGAAUAUUGGUCAAUGGACGAUAGUCUGAACCAGCCAAGUAGCGUGAAGGAUGACUGCCCUAUGGGUUGUAAACUUCUUUUAUAUGGGAAUAAAAUGUUCCACGUGUGGGAUUUUGUCUGUAACAUAUGAAUAAGGAUCGGCUAACUCCGUGCCAGCAGCCGCGGUAAUACGGAGGAUCCGAGCGUUAUCCGGAUUUAUUGGGUGUAUAGGGAGCGUAGGUGGAUUGUUAAGUCAGUUGUGAAAGUUUGCGGCUCAACCGUAAAAUUGCAGUUGAAACUGGCAGUCGUGAGUACAGUAGAGGUGGGCGGAAUGCGUGGUGUAGCGGUGAAAUGCUUAGAUAUCACGAAGAACUCCGAUUGCGAAGGCAGUUCACUGGACUGCAACUGACACUGAGGCUCGAAAGUGUGGGUAUCAAACAGGAGUAGAUACCCCAGUAGUC
rnacentral:rRNA from 1 species